GAUGAAGAACGUAGUGAAAUGCGAUAAGUAAUGUGAAUUGCAGAAUUCAGUGAAUCAUCGAAUCUUUGAACGCACAUUGCGCCCCCUGGUAUUCCGGGGGGCAUGCCUGUCCGAGCGUCAUUACAACCCUCAAGCUCAGCUUGGUGUUGGGCCCCGCCGCCCCGGCGGGCCCUAAAGCCAGUGGCGGUGCCGUCCGGCUCCGAGCGUAGUAAUUCUUCUCGCUCUGGAGGUCCGGUCGUGUGCUCGCCAGCAACCCCCAAUUUUUUUCAGGUUGACCUCGGAUCAGGUAGGGAUACCCGCUGAACUUAAGCAUAUCAAUAAGCGGAGGA
rnacentral:misc_RNA from 1 species